CCCCGCUCCUGCACCUCGAAGAUCGCAUCCACGGCGCGGGCAUGGCGGAUGAGCGCCUUGGUCCGGGCGCGGCGCAAAGCCUUCUCCGGGUCUGCCGCAUUCUCCCUUUCCAGCGCCGCCCGUUCCGGCUCCUGCCCGCCAUCGGCAGGCAGGCGCAGGCCAUCGAACAUGCCGCGCACCUUCUUGGGAACCUGCUUGACGAUCUCGNNNNNNNNGAAGGUGAUGCCGCGCCGCUCGGCGUAGCUCUGUGCCGGCUCGUAAUCUGACGCCAUGUCA
rnacentral:misc_RNA from 1 species